UUGCUUUGGAAGUACAUACCCUAAAAUCAGAAUACCACAGAGAAGAUUAGCAUGGCCCCUUUGCAAGGAAUAUAUGCAAAUUCAUGGAGUAUUUAAAAUAAAA